rnacentral:tRNA from 1 species
GCCGCUGUAGCUCAGCGGAAAGAGCACGGUUGUGACUCAACCCGGGGUCGCGGGUUCAAAUCCCGCCAGCGGUA